rnacentral:rRNA from 1 species
UACGUAGGGGGCUAGCGUUGUCCGGAUUUAUUGGGCGUAAAGAGCGUGUAGGCGGCCAGAUAGGUCUGCUGUGAAAACUCGAGGCUCAACCUCGAGCUGUCGGCGGAAACCAUUUGGCUAGAGUCCGGAAGAGGAAAGUGGAAUUCCUGGUGUAGCGGUGAAAUGCGCAGAUAUCAGGAGGAACACCGAUGGCGAAGGCAGGUCUCUGGGCCACUACUGACGCUGAGAAGCGAAAGCAUGGGGAGCGAACAGG